UACAGAGGGUGCGAGCGUUGUUCGGAAUUAUUGGGCGUAAAGCGCUUGUAGGCGGCACGUCAAGUCGCGUGUGAAAUCCCCGGGCUCAACCCGGGAAGUGCACCCGAAACUGCAGGGCUUGAGUACCGGAGAGGUUGGUGGAAUUCUCGGUGUAGAGGUGAAAUUCGUAGAUAUCGAGAGGAACACCGGUGGCGAAGGCGGCCAACUGGACGAGUACUGACGCUGAGACACGAAAGCGUGGGGAGCAAACAGG
rnacentral:rRNA from 1 species